rnacentral:rRNA from 1 species
AGAGUUUGAUCAUGGCUCAGAACGAACGCUGGCGGCGUGCUUAACACAUGCAAGUCGAGUGCGCGGUUGUAGCAAUACAACUGCGCACGGCGCACGGGUGCGUAACACGUGGGUAACCUGCCCUUUGGUGGGGAAUAACUCCGCGAAAGCGGAGCUAAUUCCGCAUAAGAUCCGCAAGGAUGAAAGCCGCAAGGCGCCGAAGGAGGGGCCCGCGCCCGAUUAGCUAGUUGGUGAGGUAAUGGCUCACCAAGGCAUUGAUCGGUAGCUGGUCUGAGAGGAUGAUCAGCCACACUGGAACUGAGACACGGUCCAGACUCCUACGGGAGGCAGCAGUGGGGAAUCUUGCACAAUGGGCGAAAGCCUGAUGCAGCGACGCCGCGUGGGGGAUGAAGCAUUUCGGUGUGUAAACCCCUUUCGAUCCGGACGAAACCCCGUAAGGGAUUGACGGUACGGAUAUAAGAAGCCCCGGCUAACUACGUGCCAGCAGCCGCGGUAAGACGUAGGGGGCCAGCGUUGUUCGGAAUUACUGGGUGUAAAGGGUCAGUAGGCGGUGCGGCAAGUCGGGAGUGAAAUCUCUGGGCUUAACCCAGAGGCUGCUUCCGAAACUGCUGUGCUUGAGUGUGGGAGAGGCGCGUGGAAUUGCAGGUGUAGCGGUGAAAUGCGUAGAUAUCUGCAGGAACACCCGUGGCGAAAGCGGCGCGCUGGACCACAACUGACGCUGAAUGACGAAAGCUAGGGGAGCAACAGGAUUAGAUACCCUAGUAGUCC